GCCUUGGAGCAAUAAUGGCCUUACGAACCGUGUCAGGUCUGGAAGGAAGCAGCACUAAGUUUGGUUCGUUAUGUGCUUCAAGUUAUG
rfam:Lactobacillus agilis DSM 20509 NODE_212, whole genome shotgun sequence.